UGGGGAAUAUUGGACAAUGGGGGCAACCCUGAUCCAGCCAUGCCGCGUGAAUGAUGAAGGCCUUCGGGUUGUAAAGUUCUUUUGGCGGGGACGAUGAUGACUGUACCCGCAGAAUAAGCUCCGGCUAACUUCGUGCCAGCAGCCGCGGUAAUACGAAGGGAGCAAGCGUUGUUCGGAAUUACUGGGCGUAAAGGGCGCGUAGGCGGUUUAACAAGUCAGGCGUGAAAGCCCCGGGCUCAACCCGGGAAUAGCGUUUGAGACUGUUUUUCUAAGAGUUCGGAAGAGGUAAGUGGAAUUCCCAAUGUAGCAGUGAAAUGCGUAGAUAUUGGGAAGAACACCAGUGGCGAAGGCGGCUUACUGGUCCGACACUGACGCUGAGGCGCGAAAGCGUGGGGAGCAAACAGGAUUAGAUACCCAUGUAGUCCCUGAGCGGGCUGGCAAGGCGCAU
rnacentral:rRNA from 1 species